GUAUAUGAAAUAAUUUUGGGGAUUAUUGAAUAGACGUGAAUAAAUGAAAUUCCAUUACGGGGGUCAUGAUACAUGAAAGAGAAGGACCCCAGAAAUGUAGGAGAGUGAGCGUCGAGCCGUCAAGUAACGCUUUCAACGCAAGGAAGGGUAGAGUUGUAAUUUUUGGGGCGAAAAGGAUGGAGAACAGGAGAAGUGAGAGGGCCCUCCAGUCAAAUUGAAGUAUGAAAGCAGGGAUAGCGGUUCUGUGCCAUGUAGGCUGUAGCAGACUUUUCUGAAG
rnacentral:lncRNA from 1 species